AACGAACGCUGGCGGCAUGCCUAACACAUGCAAGUCGAACGGGAUCCUAGCUUGCUAGGUGAGAGUGGCGGACGGGUGAGUAACACGUGGGAAUCUGCCUUUUUGGUUCGGGAUAACCGCGGGAAACUGCGGCUAAUACCGAAUGCCCUCGAGAGAGGAAAGAUUUAUCGCCAGAAGAGGAGCCCGCGUCCGAUUAGGUAGUUGGUGGGGUAAAGGCCUACCAAGCCGACGAUCGGUAGCUGGUCUGAGAGGAUGAUCAGCCACACUGGGACUGAGAUACGGCCCAGACUCCUACGGGAGGCAGCAGUGGGGAAUAUUGGACAAUGGGGGCAACCCUGAUCCAGCAAUGCCGCGUGAGUGAUGAAGGCCUUAGGGUUGUAAGCUCUUUUGCCAGGGAAGAUGAUGACUGUACCUGGAGAAUAAGCCCGGCUAACUUCGUGCCAGCAGCCACGGUAAU
rnacentral:rRNA from 1 species